UGCUCUAACUCCACAAUGUCUAGAUCAAGGUAAAUACAGAAGGGCUAUAAAUACUAAAGAGAAUGGAAAGGGACUCCUCGGUCUGGAGACAGGGCAUAUAUACCUCGAAGUCUUCGGAGAAUUGCCUCGCCGCAAGGAUGGUAGGGCUGAGCCAAAGAACCUGGAUCUGCACAUGAAAAACAUGCACAGAAAGGGCAUGAGUACACCACAAUAGUAUUAGGUAAGUCCCAAGCCUAAUCUCGGUUAUAUAUAUAUAUAUAUANNNNNNNNNNNNNNNNNNNNNNNNNNNNNNNNNNNNNNNNNNNNNNNNNNNNNNNNNNNNNNNNNNNNNNNNNNNNNNNNNNNNNNNNNNNNNNNNNNNNNNNNNNNNNNNNNNNNNNNNNNNNNNNNNNNNNNNNNNNNNNNNNNNNNNNNNNNNNNNNNNNNNNNNNNNNNNNNNNNNNNNNNNNNNNNNNNNNNNNNNNNNNNNNNNNNNNNNNNNNNNNNNNNNNNNNNNNNNNNNNNNNNNNNNNNNNNNNNNNNNNNNNNNNNNNNNNNNNNNNNNNNNNNNNNNNNNNNNNNNNNNNNNNNNNNNNNNNNNNNNNNNNNNNNNNNNNNNNNNNNNNNNNNNNNNNNNNNNNNNNNNNNNNNNNNNNNNNNNNNNNNNNNNNNNNNNNNNNNNNNNNNNNNNNNNNNNNNNNNNNNNNNNNNNNNNNNNNNNNNNNNNNNNNNNNNNNNNNNNNNNNNNNNNUAUAUAUAUAUGUAUGUAUAUAUAUAAAAAAUAAAAUAAAGCAGUAAGAAGUAACACAAGAUAAUAAGAAUAACAACAACUACAAUAGAGAGAUAAAAUCACAGAUAGAAUAUAGCUCCACACAGAGAUAGCAACCAGGGAUAUCCCAGGAUGCCGUCUUGUAGUACCUAAAUGUAAAUAUCUAGUGGAUCUCCCAGGUGUCAUCCCGUAGUCUGACUCAUAAUGCGUAGAGGAUCUACCAGAAUACCAAUCCAUAGUCCCAAAUAUAAAUAUCUAGUACAUGAGGAAUCUACAGGGUGGAGUCCCGUAGUUUCAAUGUAAAUGUGUAGGGGGAUCUACCAGAAUGACGAUCCAUAGUUCAAAAGUAAAAAAGUAGGGGGGGACAGGAUAUCACCCUGUAGUCCUAAAGUAAACACACGACAACAACACGAAGAAUACUCAAUUCAAUCCAAUUUCAUACCAAGGUAAAAUAGGUAUUUCUAACCUAACAUGCUGCACAGAAUUCAAAUAAAGCAGUUUGAACAAGUAAUGCAAUUAAGUCACUUAGACAUGCUUCCCUAAACUAACAGUAUAUGCUUAAAUUGCAAGUAGUGUACAACAAGGAAGGAAACACAAUUAUGAUUACUUAAACAAAAUAGGAUUUUCAACAAUUAACCAUGUACACACUCGUCACCUCACGUACAAGGCAUUUCAUAUGUCAACAAUACCAAAUCCUAAUGGCAGUUCCCCCACACAAGGUUAGGCAAGACACUUACCUCGAACCAGCUCAAUCAACUCGAUAUCGCGUUCUUGCCACGAGUACCCGACUCCAAAAAUAGCCCAAAAAUAUUCAAAUAAAUUCCAUAAUAUAAAUAUAACUUCAAGUAACUAAUUCCACUAAUUAAUUCGAAGCUAACACGCAAAAUUAGGAAAAUCACCCAAAAAGCCCCUCCCACCGAGCCCACGUCUCGGAAUUGAGUGGAAUUUACAAAUUCGGAAUCCUCACACUCUCACGAGUUCAUAUAUACAGAAAUUACUCCAAUCUAAUAUCAAAAUCUCGAUAAAAAAUCCAAAAUUAGGCCUAAGAACAUUUCCAAUUUCUCCCCAAAUUUUCACUCCAAAUUCAAUUUUAGAAGAUGAAUUUAAACAUAGAUUCAUGGAAAUUAAUCAAAAGCGAAUAAGAAUUACUUACCCAAAAUACCCAGGAUAUAAUCUCUCCCAAAAUCUCCAAUCCCGAGCUUUCAAAUCAAUUUCUAAGGUUUUGCAAUUAAACCCUCAUUUCUGCCCUUUUUCUGACCAGUGGAACCACAUCUGCGACUCUGGGACUGUACCCGUAGUCCCGCUUCCGGGGAGACCAUGUCACACCUAUGAUUUUUCAUUAAACCAAGAUUUCUGCACCUUCCACUUCCUUUUACGCAGAUGUGAUGCCGCUUCUACGGUACAUAGGCCGCAUUUCUGACCUAAGCCCAAAAUUCCUUAGACCACACUUGCGGUCCAAUAUACGAAUAUGCGAUUAUGACAGGUUUAGCCAACUUCAUAUUUCUCCUAAGUCCAAUUCAACUUUCGUUAAGCACCCAAAACUCACCCGAGGCCCCUGGGCCUAAACCGAACAUGUCAUCCAGUCCAAAAACAUUAUACAAACUUAUUCCAACCCUCGAAUCACAUCAAACAGCGCGAAAAUCACAAAUUAUUCUAAAAUCCAAGACUAAGUAUUCCCAAAAUUUCCAAAUGGUACUUUCGAUAAAAAAGCCUAUCAAACCUCGUCCGAAUGACCUCAAAUUUUUCACACACAUCACAUUCAAUAGUACGGAGGUACAACUCUCGGAAUUCCAUUUCGACCCCUAGAUCAAAAUCUCACUAUCGAACGGGAAACUUCGAAAAUUCAACUUUCUGCAUUUUAAGCCUAAUUAAGCAACGGACCUCCAAAACACAAUCCGAACACGCUCCUAAGUCCGAAAUCAUCCCACAGAGUUAACUGAACCAACAAAAUUCCAUUUUGAGGCCGUCUUCACACUGCUCCCACUAUUGUCCAAAUUCUAAAGCUUAAACUCUCAUUUAGGGACUAAGUCCCAAAACACUCUGAAAUUCAAAAUAAACCCUCAUGACAACUUACAAUAUCAGAAACAAACACGGGGAAUGUAGUUAGUAAGGGAUUGGGGGUGUUAAUUUUUAAAAUGACAGGCUGGUCGUUACAUCCUACCCCUCUUAAAAUAUUUGUUCGUCCUCGAACGAGCAUAGAGACAUACUUGAAGUAGAGAAAAGAUGAGGGUAACAACUGCGCAUAUGCUGCUCAGUAUCCCAGGUCGCCUCCUCAACCAGCUGACCUCGCCGCUGAACCUUCACUAAUGCAAUAUUAUUUGACCUCAGCUUCCGAACUUGUCUGUCCAUUAUUGCCACUGGCUCCUCAACAUUAGAUAGAUCCUUGUCCAAAUGGUCUGAACUGAAAUCCAAUACGUCUGAUGGGUCUCUUUGAUACCUCUGGAGCAUCAGAAUAUGAAAUACCAGAUGAACUCCUUAAAUUGGGUGUCAAGAGAAGCUCAUAAGCAACCUCCCCAACACGCCACAAUAUCUCAAAUGUACCAAUAAACUCGGACUCAACUUCCCUUUCUUCCCAAAUCUCAUAACGCCCUUCAUAGGCAAAAACCAAAGUAAGACAUGCUCUCGAAUCAUAUAGAAAAUAUCACGGACCUUCUGGUCCGCGUAACUAUACUGUCUAGACUGGGCUAUAUGGAGUCUAUCCUGAAUCACCUUAACCUUCUCCAAAGCAUCCUGAACCAAGUUUGUGCCCUGUAAUCUUGCAUCACCCAACUCAAACCAACCCACUGGAGAUCUGCACCGUCUACCAUACAAAGCCUUGUACAGUGCCAUCUGAAUGCUGGAUUGAUAGCUAUUGUUGUAAGAAAACUUAGCCAGCAGCAAGAACUGAUCCCAAGAACCUCCAAACUCUAUCACACACACACGAAGGAUAUUCUCAAGAACCUAAAUAGUGCGCUCGGACUGUACGUCCGUGUGGGGGUUAACUAAUGUGCUUAACUCCACCCGAGUUCCUAACUCAUGCUGUACGACCCUUCAGAACCGUGAUGUGCACUGAGUACCUCUGUCUGAAAUGAUGGAAAUUGGAAUACCAUGCAGGCAAAAAAUCUCCCAGAUGUAAAUCUCCGCCAACCGCUCCGAAGAAUAGCUAGUAUACAUAGGAAUGAAGUGCACGAACUUGGUCAGCUGAUCCAAAAUCACCCAAAUGGCAUCGAACUUCUUAGAAGUCCAUGGGAGUCAAACUACGAAGUCCAUGGUGAUACGCUCCCACUUCCACUCCGGAAUCUCUAUUUUCUAAAGCAACCUACCGAUCUAUGGUGCUCAUACUUUACCUACUGACAAUUGAGCCACCGAGCUACGAACCCAACUAUAUCCUUCUUCAUCAGCCUCUACCAAUAGUGUUGUAUCAAAUCUUGGUACAUCUUCGAGGCACCCGGAUGGAUGGAAUACCGUGAACUGUGGGCCUUCUCUAGAAUCAACUCCCGAAGCCCAUGAACAUUCGAUACACAAACCCGACCCUGCAUCCUUAAUACCCCAUCAUCACCAAUAGUCACAUAUCUAGCAUCGCCACGCAGGAUCUUGGCCUUGAGGACAAGCAAAUGAGGAUCGUCAAACGGAUGCUCUCGGAUAUGAUAAAACAAGGAAGACCGAGAAACCAUGCAAGCUAGAACCCGACUACGCUCCGAAAGAUCCAAUCUUACAAACUAGAUGGCUAAGGCCUGAACAUAAAUUGCCAUGGGUCUCUCCGCUGUUGGUAAAUAAGUGAAACUCCCCAAGCUCUCUGCCCGGCAACUAAAAGCAUCUGCCACCACAUUGGCCUUGCGUGGGUGAUACAAGAUAGUGAUAACAUAGUUCUUGAGCAGCUCUAACCACCUCCUCUGGCAAAAAUUAAGGUCCUUCUGCUUGAACAAGUGCUGCAGACUCCGAUGAUCAGUAUAAAUAUCACAAAGAACACCGUACAAAUAAUGACGCCAGAUCUUCAUGCCGUGAAUAGUAGCAUCUAACUCGAGAUCAUGGAUAGGAUGACUCUUCUCAUGUACCUUCAACUGUAUGGAUGCGUAGGCAAUCACCCUACCGUCCUACAUCAAUACCGCUCCAAGGACAAUCCUCGAGGCAUCACAAUAGAUAGUAUAAGAUCCCGAACCUAGCAAUAUCAAUACUAGGGUUGUAGUCAAAGCUGUCUUGAUCUUCUGGAUGCUUGCCUCAUACUCUUCCAUUCAUUAGAAUUUAGCACCCUUCUAGAUCAGCCUGGUCAUAGGUGUUGCAAUAGAUGAAAACCCCUCAACAAAUCGACAGUAAUAACCUGCCAAGCUAAGAAAACCGCGGACCUCUAUAGCUGAGUAUGGUUUGGGCCAACUUUGCAUUGCUUCCAUUUUUUUCGGAUCCACCUGUAUACUGUCAUUCGAUACCACGUGGCCAAAGAAUGCCACAGAAUCUAACCAAAACUCACAUUUUGAGAAAUUUGCAUAUAACUUCUUUUCACUCAAUGUCUAAAGCAAUGUCCUCAUGUGCUGCUCAUGAUCUUCCCGACUCCGCAAAUACACUAGAAUAUCAUCAAUAAAGACAAUGACGAAUGAGUCAAGAUAUGGCCGGGACACAGUGUGCAUCAAAUGCAUGAAGGAUACUGGGGCAUUAUUCAGCCCAAAUAACAUAACAAGGAACUCGUAAUGACCAUACCGAAUCGUGAAUGCAGUUUUUGGGAUGUCUGGCUCCCAAAUCAUCAACUGAUAGUAACUUGAGUGCAAGUAAAUCGUAGAAAACACUCGUUCACCUUGUAACCAGUCAAACAGAUCAUCAAUACGAGGCAAAGGAUACUGAUUCUUCACAGUAACUUAGUUCAACUGGCGAUAGUUAUUUUCUUUACAAACAAGACAGGAGCACCCCAAGAUGAUACACUAGGCCGGAUAAAACCUUUGUUAAGCAAUUCUUGCAACUGCUCCUUUAACUUCUUCAACUCAGGAGGAUCCAUACAAUAAGGAGGAAUAGAAAUGGGCUGAGUGACCAGCAACAAAUCAAUGCCCAAAUCAAUAUCUCUAUCGGGUGGCAUACGCAGAUGAUCAGCUGGAAAUACAUCAUGAAAGUCCCAUACUACUGGGACUAAAUCAACUGUAGGGGUAUAAACAUUAACAUAUCUCACAUAGGCUAGAUACGCAUCACACACCUUCUCAACCAUUUGCCGAGCUUAAGGAAAGAAAUAACUCUACUGAGAAUGUGAUCUAAGGUACCCUCCACUCAACUCGCGAAACACCUGGCAUGGCCAACGUCACGGUUUUGGCAUGACAAUCAAGAAUAACAUAACAGGGAGACAACUAGUCCCUGCCCAAGAUAACAUCAAAAUCUACCAUGCCGAGCAAUAAUAAAUUGGCUUGAGUCUCAAAACCACUUAGAGCAACCAAAUGCAAGCGAUAAACAUGGUCCACAAUAAGAGAAUCUCCCACGGGAGUAGAAACAUAAAUAGGGGAACUCAAAGAAUCCCGUGAUACAACCAAAUAUGGGGAAAAACAAGAAGAUACAUAAGAAUAGGUAGAUCAUGGAUUGAAUAAAAUCGAUGCAUCUCUAUGACAAACUAGGACAAUAUCUUUGAUGACAGAAUCAGAGGUGAGAACCUUGGUACGGGUAGGCAGAACAUAAUAUUUGUCCUGGCCUCCCCCUCUAGGGCAACCUCUACCUCCCCGACCUCCACCUCUAGCUGGCUGAUCAGGAAGGGUAGCAACUGGUGCCGUGUUCAUAGCUUAAGAACUCUGCGGGACGCACUGUGGUUAAGAAGUCUGUGGAGGUGCACCCCUCAUAAGUCUGGGGCAAACCCUCACCAUAUGGCAUGUGUCACCACACUCAAAACAAGCUCUGAGAAGAUGUGGUGGCUUUGACUGACUUGGUCCAGGUAUGCUGGACUGACCACUUAAAGCACCUCAUGGAGAAGGCACAUUAGAUACUGGAAGUGCAUAAUAAGGCUCAUGAGGCCUAGGAGGAGCUGGAAUACCACUAGUUGCUGGAAGAGCUAAAUAAAUGGGGUGACUCAUAUGACCCUUACCAUGACGAACUGCAGUUGGAGCAUGGGCACCAGAAUAAUGGCUCGACUCUCGAGACCUCUUGGCCUCCCUCUCCUCUAUAUCCCGAGCGUGCAUACCCUCUACUUUUCAAGAAAUGCUCACCACCUGCUGAUAAGAAAUAUUCAUCUCCAACUCACGAGCCAUGCUAGACCUGAUGCUGGGAAUGAGUCCCUCAAUAAAUCGGUGAACACUCUCAUAAACUGUAGCAACCAAGGCUGGUUCAUGCGUAGACAAGUUAGUGAAACGAACAACAUUCUCUAAAAUUAUCAUAGUUCCAUGGCGCAAAUGCUCAAACUCUACGCGCCAUGUGUCCCUGAGGCUCUGAGGAACAAACUCUCACAGGCAUAUAUCAGAAAAUUGAGUCCAAGUAAGGGAUGUCGCCUUAGCUUUACUAUCAAACUCAAAAGUAUGCCACCACUCGCAGGCGGCUCCUCGAAGCUGGAAGGCAGUGAAAGAAACCAUACUCAAUCCGUAUAUACCUAGAGCACGGAGGAUACGGUGACACUCCACCAGAACCCAGGGCAUCAUCUGAUGCUAAGCUAAUGCAUAUAGGAGGCUUAUACUUCUUGAACCUCUCAAGCCUCCGCUGCUCAUCCUCUAAUGCUGCUGCCCUGUCCUCGGGAUGAUCUAGGACUAUAGGCGGUACCGCUAUAACCUCUGGGAUCUAAUCAACCUGUAUUCGCUGCUCAGGAGUGCAGGUGGCAGGAGUUUGUAUUCCUCCCCUGUCCUGGGAUGUGACUGCAACAAGGGGAAUAAGCCUUGCCUGAGCUAGAGUAGUGUACAUGCUCACGAACUGUGCAAGAGUCUUCUAAAGAGCUGGAAUAGUAGUAGCAAUAGGCGUAUCAAGAGCCUGGACUCCGGCUGGAGCUGCUGGUGACUCCUUUAUGGCAUCUCGUGCGGGUGAUCUGACUGCAGCAUGGGCGGGUCCUCGGCCUCUACCCUAGCCCCGAACUCUGAAGGCUCUAGAAGGGGGCGUAGCUGCCUGGUCAUCUACGGUAGCACGUUUCCUCACCAUGUGUGAGAGAAUAGGAGACAAAAUUUUAGAAUUGUGAUAUUAAAAUCUCGCCUGACAAAGAAAUCACAUAAAGUGGAAUUUUCCUAACAUUUAAAUAGCCUCUCGUAGAUAAGUAAAGACGUCUCCAUACCGAUCCGCCAGACUCUAAUAAACCGGCUUGUGAUUCGUGACUCCUAUGAACCUUAAGCUCUGAUACCAACUUGUCACGACCCAAGUUUUCCCUCCGUGAACUGUUGUGACGAUACCUAGUCUCUACGGCUAGGUAAGCCUAACAAUCGCGGAAAAUAGAAAAAAAGUGGAAAAGCUAAUAAAAACUGAAGUUAAACAAAUAUAGAAGCGUUUAAGGUUCAGCUCGGCAUAUACUAAUAUAAGAUCUCAAAAACUGAAGAACUUCCUAAAACUCAAAAUCUCUUGAAAUCACAAGCUACGAAUACUACAUAGUGCUCUAACUCCAGAAUGUCUAGAUCAAAGUAAAUACAGAAGGGCUAUAACUAAUAAAGAGAAUGGAGACAGACUCCUCGUUCUGCGGAUGCGACAGAUAUACCUCGAAGUCCCUGGAGAAUUGGCUCGCCUCAAAGAUGGUAGGGCUGAGCCGAAGAACCUGGAUCUGCACAUGGAAAACAUGUGUAGAAAGGGCAUGGAUAUACCACAACGGUACCCAGUACGUAUCAAGACUAACCUAGGUCGGAUAGUGGCGAGGAAUGUCAGGGCCCUGCCAAUCAUAUAUAUAUAUAUAUAUAUAUAUAUAUAUAUAUAUAUCACAUAAGGAGAUGCACAUCGAGCAAAGUUUUCUCAUUACAACAAAAUAUCGAGUACCGGUAGCAAGCAUACUAAGUGCAUGCAAUAUCUACAUAUAGCGUUAUGAGCUACAAAACUCAAACGCAACUAAGGUUUCCCUCUCAACUUCAAUCCCGAUAGCACUGCACUAUAUGUGCCCAUAGUCCGUAAAUCACAACAUCUCGCAACACAGAAAACAACUCACAGAUCUCUCCAGAUCGCUAAUAAGCUCAACGAUGGUCGAGUCAACCUAUCCCUCGACAAUAAAAUUUCGGAGCCGGCAGAGUCAACUCAAAAUAGAACACGCAUCCGAAAAGUCCCUUAACGCCGGAACUAGCUCAAUAAUAGCAACCUCUACACUGACAUCCAUCAUGAAUUCUCAAUUAGGAAAAGCAAUCCUUCCCGAAUAACAACAACUAUAACAGAGAGAAAAUCACAAAGAGAAUAUAGCUCCACAAAGAGAUAGCAACUGGGGAUCUCCUAGGAUACCGUUCUGUAGUCACCAAAUUUAAACAUACAAUGGGUCUCCCAGGUGUCGUCACGUAGUCCGACUCAUAAUGCGCAGGGGAUCUACCGGAAUACCAAUCCAUAGUCCCAAAUUUAAAUAUUCAGUACAGGGAAAAUCUAGCGGAUGUAAUCCUGUAGUUCCAAUGUAAAUGUGCAGGGGAAUCUACCAAAAUGUUGAUCCGUAGACCCAAAGUAUACAAGCAGGGGGGAUCUCCUGGGAUAUCAUCACGUAGUCCCAAAGUAAACAAACAAUAGCAACACGAAGAAUACUCAAUUCAAUAAAUUUCAUACCAAGGUAAAACAUGUAUUUCUAACAUAGAAUGAUGCACAGAAUUCAAAUAAAAAAGUUUGAACAAGUAAAGUAAUUAAGUCACUUAGACAUGCUUGCCUAAACGAACAAUAUGCUUAAAUUGCAAGUAGCAUACAACAGGGAAGAAAACACAAUUUGAUUACUUAACGAGAACAAGAUUUUCAACUAUUAACCCAUGUACGCACUCGUCACCUCACGUACAAGGCAUUUCAUAUAUCACAAUACCAAAUCCUAAGGGAGUCCCCCUCCCCCCGAUAAGGUUAGGCAAGCCACUUACCUCGAACCAGUUCAAUCGAUAUCACGUUCUUGCCACGAGUACCUGACUCCAAAUGGCCCAAAUCUAUUUAAAUCAAUUGCAUAAUGUAAAUAUAACUUCAAGUAACUAAUUCCACUAAUUAAUUUGAAGCGAACAUGCAAAAUUAGGAAAAUAACCCAAAAAGCCCCCCUCCGGGGCCCACAUAUCAAAAUCGGGUAGAAUUUACAAAUUCGGAAUCCUCAUACUCUCACGAGUUCAUACAUACAGAAAUUAAUCCAACGCGAUAUCAAAAUCUUGAUCAAAAUCCAAAAUUAAGCCUAAGAACUUUUCCAAAUUUACUCCAAUUUUCACCUCAAAUUCGAAUUUCGAGGAUAAAUUUAAGCAUAGAUUUGUGGACAUUAAUCAAAACCGAGUAAUAAUUACUUACCCAAGACAUCCAGGUGAUAAUCUCUCCCAAAAUCUCCCAUCCCGAGUUCCUAAAUAAAUUUCUAAGGUUUUGAGACUAAACCCUCAUUUCUGCCCCUUUUCUGACCAGUGAAUUGCAUCUGCGACUCUGGUGCGGUCCCGAUUCUGCGGAGACCAUGUCGUUAAACCAAUAAUUCCGCAUCUGGGACCCCUUUUACGCAGAUCCGAUGUUGCUUCUACGGUGUAUAGGCCGCAUCUGCAACUUAAGCCCAAAAUUCCUCAGGCUGCACCUGUGGUCCUCCUACCGCUUCUGCGGCCCAAUACACACAAGUGCGAUUAUGACAGGUUCAUCCAACUUCAUAUUUCUCCACUCAAGUGUAAUUCACAAGAGUUUCACAAUAACUCCCCACAUGGAUAUCAAGUAAUCUCACAUAUCAACACAAGGCGAUUUCACAAGGAUCAAAGUUAGCCAUACAAACCUCGAUUGAUCUUUUCUUAAGUUACUACAACACUCCAAAAACUCUAGCAAUUCCAAUAUACUAUGAGACAUAACAAAAUAAUACACAUAUUAGAAAGAUGUUCAUAAACUAUCUCAUUUGAGCAUUUUAUCAAAAACUAGUUGAGCAUCUUGAUUUCGAAUCCCCUAUUUAAUAUUUUCUCCAUUCCCUAACCCAAAAGGUAUUCAUGAAACUAGCUCAGUUGAGCAUGUUAUCAAACGCUAGUUGAGCAUCUUGAUUUCGAAUCCCCUUAUUAAGAUUUCUUUCAUUCCCUAACCCAAUCUUUACUAAUCUAUGUUAAACAAUCUUCCCAUAAACCUAUGUUGUACAUGUAUGCAUACACAAUACUAAAAUACCCAAGAGUCAUACCUCAAUAACCCAUCUUAUACUCUAAUCUCGAAAUAAAAACCUAGGUUAUAGAAUCUUACCUCUUAGAUGAAGAACUUGCGAUUGGGUUCUUUGAUUCUUGAAGAUUGAUCCAAUAUUUGGAUGAUUUAGAUAUUGGGUUCCUCCUUCUCUCUAUAAAAUACUCUCACCUCUCUCUAAAAUCAGUAGGAAAUGACCCCAAAUGAAGUCCUAAAGGUUAUAUAUCAAAAUGGGGCCGGGUUAUGAAAAUAAAAAAAAUAACCCUCCGAUGUCAAUUCUGCUAUAGCAGAAUGCACCGCAGAAUGGACAUGCGGGCCGCAGAAUGCACCGCAAAAUUGGUGCCCAAAAAUGAGCUACACUAGUUCAUUCUGCGGUCAAAGUGCGGACCGUAGAACUAAAAUGCGGACCGCAGAGUAAAAAUUGCGGAUUACAGAUUUGACCUGACACAGGAUCGCAUUUUCCAGCCUUUGGUAAUUUUAUCAUAACUUUGUGUAGGAAUGUCCAAAUAAUGAACGGUUCAAAGAGCUGGAAACUAAACUCAAAAGGCUUUCAUUUGAUAUGCUAUUCACCACAUAAAACCUUAUACAUAAUUAUAUAUGCUCUUUUGAAGUGGAGCCUUGUGCGAAUCCAUUUGAAAUUUUGGCCUAUUUCGAAAAUUUUUCCAUUUGGCAUAUACCUAGGCUUCCAUUUGGACCUCACAUCACUUACCAUAAGACCUAUACACAUAUUUACCAAGUCUAAUUGAUGUCAUCAUAUUAAUAGUACAAAAAUAUAUUAUAAUAAGCCUGCGUGACACUAUGAAAUCCUAAAUUACUUAGCGAAAUUUUCCGGGGCCUUACAAGAUAUCACUUGCACACAUACAAGUUUGAAUAGUAAAAACCCUAUUUUCACAAAUAGAAGAAACCCUAAUUUCACCUAGAUUUUUUACAUGUAGAUGAAAGAAUAGAGUGUAUCCUCCUUUUUUGCACAUCUGAAGAAGCUAAGGUCUUCUAAUAGCAGAAACAGAAGAAAAACUUUGAAGAAGACUCCAUAUUGUACCGAUUGAAACAUCUUCAUUCUGAACGAAAAUUACCGAACCAAACUUGACGAUUAUCAUUGCACGAUAGCUUUGAGCGAGACGGAUCAAUUAGAGUGCUUUGUUACCAUAUUAGACCUCAUAUCGGAGUCAAUCGAAAUAAAUCAAAAGUGAAGAAAAAACUAAAUAGGAGAGAAGAGAGAGAAAUGAGAUGUUUCUUAUUAUUUCAUAAUUGUCUCCCAAUGUUCG
rnacentral:lncRNA from 1 species